CAGCCGCCGCGGGAAUACGAAGGGGGCUAGCGUUGUUCGGAAUUACUGGGCGUAAAGGGCGCGUAGGCGGCCAUUCAAGUUAGAUGUGAAAGCCCUGGGCUCAACCUGGGGGCUGCGCUUGAUACUUGGUUGCUUGAGUGGGGAAGAGGGUCGUGGAAUUCCCAGUGUAGAGGUGAAAUUCGUAGAUAUUGGGAGGAACACCAGUGGCGAAGGCGGCGACCUGGGCCAACAUUGACGCUGAGGUGCGAAAGCGUGGGGAGCAAACAGGAUUAGAUACCCCCGUAGUCCCUGUCUCUUAUAC
rnacentral:rRNA from 1 species